CGAUUACAACAAUAAAAACAAUGCCACUAUAUUUAAUACAGUGUAUUUGUAUAUUAAAAAAACAUUAAUCCCCAAAAUUGGAAGUUGUGAAAAAUGAUCAUAGACCUUUAGGACUGACCCUGUCCUAAAUUAUGUCUAGCUUAAUUACCCAUUUAUUUAAACAAAUUAGUAUUGUCUCUCACUAUCACUCUAUAUCACUAUUGACAGUAGAGUGUGGUAUGGUAGCCUAAAUGUGAUAAGUCUAUGUCUGUUAGAGCCCUCUCCUGGGCUAAUACCACUGGCUGAUGGAUAUAUCUAAACAGAAAUGUGUAACGCUCAGCACUUUCAGCAAGUUUCUUAUAAACAUACCACACACACUCAUCAUUACUGUCGGGGUUUGGGUUGUCGUUUUGUGUACAUUGUGCUUGCAACAUUGUGUUCAGUUUCCCAGAUGGUGCUGGAGUUCUCAGGUGCGCUGGGGGACAGGUGCGUCUUAUUCUGCUGAUUGCAUGAGGAGUAUUUAAGCAGGAGGCUGCCAGGACUUCGACGCGAGAGUGUUUGACUACAGUGGCUGAAACCCUGGUUCUUGGAUUUACCUCGCUGAACACAGACUUCAGUCUCAGAAGUUCUGUGGGUUAAGACUUCCUACGUUUUUGAGGACUUUGUUUCCUGAACUACUGACUUCAACUGGAUUUUGCUCUGGCUGGCAGCCUUCCUGAUUCUUCUGUUUCUUGGAUCAAGACAUUAAGCGUACCCUGUCCACCUUCCAACGUAAGCAUCUGCAUAUUGGAUAACUACAUGGUUUUUCCAGUCUCCCUCAAACAGCACCAGAGGAAACAACAGAACGAACUCUGCUCUGUAAACCGAGACCCAGAAUCCCUCAACCCCUGGCGACCUGACUGCAUCUACUUAUUGGAGAUUCACUCGUUCAUGUUCCUGAUUACUUGUUGCACAAUAAAACAUUAUUUUACUGAUUUUUGUUCUCCGGAGUGUACUUCUGUAUGUGGGUCAGAUCAAUUCCAAAAACAAUGACAAUUACAUAAAAACUUUUCAUACUUUUCCUACCUCAUGUUGCACACUAC